AAAAAAAAAAAAAUAAUACAUCGUACUCUACUUUUUCUUGAGUGAUCACGUAGGGAAACUUACGCUAAUACCGCAUACGACCUACGUUUUAAAGCAGUAGAUCUUCCGACCUUGCGCUAUUUACUCAACCGAUGUCUUAUUAUCUCGUUGGAGGUGUAAAGGCCCACCAAGGCGACGAGCCGUAUCUGGUCUGAGCGGAUGAUCAGCAAAAUUGGAACUGAGACACGGUCAAGAAUCCUACGGGAGGCAGCAGUGGGGAAUAUUGGAUAAGGGGCGCAAGCUUGAGACAGCCAUACCGCGUGGGUGAAGAAGGUCUUUUUUUUUU
rnacentral:rRNA from 1 species